rnacentral:rRNA from 1 species
CACGUAGGAGGCGAGCAUUGUCCGGAAUCAUUGGGCGUAAAGAGCGCGCAGGCGGCUUGGCAAGUCGGGUGUGAAAUCCCGGGGCUCAACCCCGUGACUGCAUCCGAUACUGUCAGGCUAGAGGUAGGUAGGGGAGAUCGGAAUUCCUGGUGUAGCGGUGAAAUGCGCAGAUAUCAGGAGGAACACCGGUGGCGAAGGCGGGUCUCUGGGCCGAUACUGACGCUGAGGAGCGAAAGCGUGGGGAGCGAACAGG